AGUGUCACGGAGUGACUUCGUAAGGGCGGAACUAAAAAAUGACGGAGAUUGGUUCCACCCGGACCAUAAUUCUCAAACACCGGGAACUCCGGGAAGGGAAAUCAGGGUUUUAUUGAUCGCAGGUGGAUAGAUGAACGGGGCGAUCGUGGAUUGGGCAGUAUGAAGAGAAGGAGGAGUAUAAAGAGGGCCUCAGAAACUGCAGAGGGGGGGAAAAAGUUCUUUGUUUUAUUUCAGCCGAUACGGCGAGAGAGUUGGAGUGUUUGGGCGAGUACCGUGGAAAGAAGGCAGAGGAUAUUGUUGGCUGGGCAAAGACGGAGACAAGGGUUUGGCAGAAACAGACACCGGGCUGAGUAUAUUGGAAUGUCUACUUAACUGUGAAAUGCUCCAUGGACAUGUGUAACAAAUUCUGAGUGGUUGAAAACAGGAAGACUCACCGGAAGUAUCGCCGAAGGAGGCCUUUUCGACAGGGCACGUGGCAGCAGGAGAAGUACCCAGGAGCUGGAAAGAAGAGGGAAAAGAGACCUCGUGUAGUAACGGUGUGAGUACCCUAAACCAUCGUACAGCAGUAUAAUCAUCUAGAGUGAACCAUCUGUGAGCGUUUUGUGAGUUUGUGGCAUAGUAUGUGAGCGGCCCCACUGUGGAGGAGGAUUGUGGGUGAGCCGGGACCAGUGAGCGAGAGAGGAUGUUGGGCUGUUGUGGCGGCAACGUUUAAAUCUGAAUAUUCGUGGCAUCAGUGUCUUCACGACUUCCAGGAAGAGUCUUUGGUCAGACGGGGUGUUGACCCUAAAUUCACCAGAGUGUGUGGAGUGCAGUGGGUGAGUCUUUGUCCUUUGCUGUGAGUGUAUACACUUGAAAAUUGCAGUGUUGUGCUGUGUUGUGUCGUCAACAACCACCUUUCAGGCCCGACGAAAUCCUGUGAAGGAAGUGAAUACCGAGGCUCGAAGAAAACAUCUCCAAUUAUAUGCCGUCGAUGACAUCCUGACCCUUCUUCCCCACGUGACGGUGGUGGGAAACAAUUUCAAGUAAGAACAGUGUGGAUCUACUGGGAAGUAUUAAUGGUGAGGAGUUGGCUGCUGUAGGAGGAAAUCAGCUGUGCGUGUAUUAUUACCUGCUGUGGAGUUCUUCAAAGGUUCGCCCCUGUCUAGAUCUCUUGACUUGUCGGUUGGUAGAAGCCUCAGAAAAGGAACGUCUGACGUCUAUUCCCUCGAAGAUCUAGCGGGUCCCUUUGAAGCGUCUACCUGCAUGUCGACUCGUCACUCAGGAUACAGAGACCGCGGAAACCCCCUCCCGUACACUUACCAGUACGGUUUUAGUUGGAACCCGGUAGCCCUUGUGCAGUUCCCCCAGCAGCUGGACGACCGGGAGUACAACCCGCUGGGCCGCCUCGGAGUUCGUCAAAGGAAAGGAGAGGGCCCUGGACAGUCGUCCUGCAAGUCAGAACAAAGGGGCACUUGUGAAUAAGCUGAUUGUCGUCACAUAGCCAGAAGGAAAGAGGAGUGAAGGACUCACCUGAGAUCUCCCGUGACGGAGUCUAAGAGACUCGAGAUUGUUACUCUCCAAAAGGAGGGUUGGAUUUUAGCCUCCCUUCCCCAUACCCUUUUUUUUUAGUAAUUUAAUAAAGUCUGUUUUAAAAUUUACUUACCGGCUCUCGUGUGUCUGGUCAUUGGGGUAUUCUUGGGACCUCCUCGAGGUGGAAAUUAGGAAGGGGCGUGACUCACAACAUCUGUGGUCAGCUCCGACCUGUGACAGAUUUUUGGCGUAGUCGGCAGGGUUCCACCUCGGGUUGAGCGACCAAGGUUCCCCAAUGGCCGACAACGAGUUGCAAGAGGCCCUACCCCGAGUCAUGCCAGUGUUUAUGGGGAACCCCUGGAUCCAG
ensembl:lncRNA